AGAACGAACGCUGGCGGCAGGCUUAACACAUGCAAGUCGAGCGCCCUGCAAGGGGAGCGGCGGACGGGUGAGUAACACGUGGGAACAUGCCCUUUGGUUCGGAACAACUCAGGGAAACUUGAGCUAAUACCGAAUGUGCCGGUAACGGGAAAGAUUUAUCGCCAAGGGAUUGGCCCGCGUCCGAUUAGCUAGUUGGUGAGGUAAAGGCUCACCAAGGCUCCGAUCGGUAGCUGGUUUGAGAGAACGACCAGCCACACUGGGACUGAGACACGGCCCAGACUCCUACGGGAGGCAGCAGUGGGGAAUCUUGGACAAUGGGGGAAACCCUGAUCCAGCCAUGCCGCGUGAGUGAUGAAGGCCUUCGGGUUGUAAAACUCUUUCGACGGGGACGAUAAUGACGGUACCCGUAGAAGAAGCUCCGGCUAACUUCGUGCCAGCAGCCGC
rnacentral:rRNA from 1 species